AACUACGAGCCAUAGUAACAGGCAGCCACGACAACGGUGGGAGAUGACGACAUCAAAUAGCCAUGAUAACAAGACAAGAUACGCAGGGGACAUAAUUUAAGCGCAGAAACUUCUGGAAGCUACCUCACAGAGGACUUUUUAAAAAAUGCACUUCCUCGGAGCCAAGCUAUCAGCCUCCAGAUGUGAACCUGUCACUUUCCAGCCACAGUCAUCAACUGCUCUUCAGCAGUAUGCACUCCACCAUCCCUGCUUUCAAGAACAGAACAUCGCAAAACAAAAGAAGGCGUUGGGGUGACAUCUGAGACAGAAUCAUUGACUUCACCACAAUUUUAAGUCUGGAGUGUACAACACUAGAAACAGAUGAGUGCUUUGAAGUCUUCCCACAAUGUGGAAAUGUCAUAAUUUGUUGAAUAAUAAAAUCACAAAGCUUA